rnacentral:rRNA from 1 species
GUAGUCUGCGACUCGACUACAUGAAGCUGGAAUCGCUAGUAAUCGCGAAUCAGAAUGUCGCGGUGAAUACGUUCCCGGGUCUUGUACACACCGCCCGUCACACCAUGGGAGUUGGGAAUGCCCGAAGCCGGUGACCUAACCGAAAGGGAGGAGCCGUCGAAGGCAGGCUUGAUAACUGGGGUGAAGUCGUAACAAGGUAGC